CUUCAGAUAUGUUCUAGAAUGCCUAGAAAUUCUUCUAAGAAAGUCAAGGAGGCAUAGGAUACCAACGCUCCUGUUUCACAAUAUGCUACAUGUUUCUUUCUAGCUUUCUCACUCCAGUGCAGAAAUAAGUGCAUGCCCUCCAGGUGCCCCAGUCCAGCGAGCAUGAUAAAAAGCAGGUUAAAAACCCACACUUAUCCAUUUGGAGUGGAUAUAGCACAGGCUCAGUGAAAGCAAGAGAAAGAAGAGUUUUAAAAGAAGAUUUCUAAGGACAGAAAGU
rnacentral:lncRNA from 1 species